CAACUAUAGUCAUUGCUACAUUAAUCAAUUUGUAUUCUAUACCAUUCGCUUGCCCGGCAAGCACCCACAAUCCAUCAGAAUACAAAACUGUCUAGAUCAUGCGCACUUAUACUACAAAGACCUAUAUUUUCUUUGUUCUCUGGAGGGGCACCAGAUGGUUCCUGGACCAUAUCUCCCUCUCACAGGACUCAAUAGAUCUAGAUCAUUGUUCCAAAGUCCUAAUAAACCCUCGAUCUCAAUUUCCACCGAACAUCCUACUGGAAACACUGAGAAUGUGGUUCCUGUAGCCACUAGCAUCCCCCCUUUAAGUCACUGGCUUUGAUCAUUGAUGCAAGCAGGAGGAAUAGAUAUCCUAGUAUUAAAACUCCAUAGCACCUUCGCAGCUAUGGUGACCUCAAACGUAAUGAAGGUAGCUCAUUUGCAAAAAUAGUUAAGAAGGGUUUUUGGUCUGAGAACUCAAUUGCUUUCCAACGCUUCUGUAACGUUCCUCUUUUAUUUUGAAAUUUCAGGAAGAUAUGAAUAUCCGAAUCAUAGGGUUGGAACUCACAUGUUAUAUUUUUUUUUUUAUUAUCUUCAAUUCAAUAUUGAAAAACAUCUAUAAAAAAUAAACCAUAUCAAGAUAUUACUUCUAUCUUGGGGAAGAGCUGAUAAUUAUUUGAUAAAAAUUGUUAUAUAUAUAUAUAUAUGUUUUGUGUAUUAAUGUUAUAGUUUUUAUAUGUUAAACGUUAUCGUUUUAGAGUCUUUGAUCUAUAUCUCACUUUACUAAUAAGAAUAUUAAAUAUGUCUACGAAAAUGAAAAUAUACCUUUUGUAAAUUAUAAAUAACUCAGUAAAAUAAUGUAUCUAAUUCAUGAAAACUACGAAAUCGGCUAACGCGAUCACGGUCUCUCCUGUGCAUAAUACAUUUUUUCCCCCCGCUGGAAACCAUGUAACUCCUUUGUAUCAUACAAAUUGUUUAACGUUGCAAUGACAUAAAAUUUUAUACAUUAUCUGGGUGUAUCCGUAGUAAUGUGCGAUUUCAUUAAUUGCGUAGUUAAACAAUUAUUGUGUACCCCUCCAUCCCAUUCAUGGUCUUUUCUCUUUCCUUCUAUCUAGGUUUUUUGGUGCAAAUAUGAAGAUAAAACAAAGGAAAUAUAGAUCUUUGUAGUAGAAGGGCGCAUGUUAUAGACGAUUCGGUCAAAACUUUUUUUGGUUUAACUUUUCUGAUGGAGUGUGGGCGCUUGUCGGCAAUCAAAUGGUAUUGAAUACAAAUUAUUUAACUAUGAUUUGUACAUUACUACGGAUAAACCUAGUUAAUGUAUGAUUUUAUUUUUACAAAAUAUUGUGAGUAUAUUUUAAUUUGCUUUUACUUACUGUUAUUAUAGAAAUAUUGUGAUUAUUAAGUAAUGUAAGUGUGUUAGCUAAAAAUAUAUCAAAUUUUUUUGCUUAAAAAAAAAAAGCUGAUUAACCAUUUUGUUAUAAAUGCAUAAAUAAUUAGAAAUUCUUAAUUGAAUUUUAAAUACUAGAUACCUAUUACAGCUGACAACGUCAAUAAUGAUAAAACUUUCAUCUAUCAUGGUAGACAACAGUUCCAAUAACCAAAUUAAAGUACCUAAGAAUGUAAUAAAUUCUUUUGUGGAUUAUGGAUUAUUAGAAGGGGUCAUAGAUGGUCAAGGAAGCAGAUACGAAGGGAAAUAACCUACCUUCGAUCCCAGGAGUUCAUCAUUCAAGUGUUUUAUUGUCCGAAUAUAAUAUAAAUAGCAAUCAAAUUGCACACAAUAAUAUUGUCUUCCAAUAAUAUAACUCACAAUAACCUUGCUCACCAUAAUUUUGCUUUUUCUCAAUCAUAAUACCUACAAUCAAAAUGUACCUACACGAUGGCAUUACCUCACAAUCAUAUUACCAAAAUCAUUUCGUCUACAGCCUUUUUACGGCAAUCAUUUUACAGUGAUUGCUUCAUCCAACAAAUACAUUGGAAUAUCAUCAUUUCAAAUCCUUUUAUUUCCAUUCUUAUAAAUCCAAGGCAAGUAGUAUACAAUGUUUGUAAAACUGUAAAAUUCAUUGUAAUCGAGACUAAAUGCAACCGAUCUUGUUGAAUGUAGACCGACCAGAGCACAUUUGCCAUUAAAACACAUCGCAAGAGAUGUUCCAGACGCCAUAGACUUAAGGCCAGUAUUUGGACCAGUACAAAACACUCCCGUAUUCCUACAAACUUUAUAACUUGCUUGUAUAGUCGUCACUCUACCAGCUUGUAAUACCUUGCUGUCUUCAUUAGUAUUCCUUCUCACUAUAUACACAUUUAAAUAUAAAAAUGAAUACGUUAA
rnacentral:lncRNA from 1 species